GAGUUUGAUCGUGGCUCAGGAUGAACGCUGGCGGCGUGCCUAAUACAUGCAAGUCGAACGAACAGAUAAGGAGCUUGCUCCUUUGACGUUAGCGGCGGACGGGUGAGUAACACGUGGGUAACCUACCUAUAAGACUGGAAUAACUCCGGGAAACCGGGGCUAAUGCCGGAUAACAUGUUGAACCGCAUGGUUCUACAGUGAAAGACGGUCUUGCUGUCACUUAUAGAUGGACCCGCGCCGUAUUAGCUAGUUGGUGGGGUAACGGCCUACCAAGGCGACGAUACGUAGCCGACCUGAGAGGGUGAUCGGCCACACUGGAACUGAGACACGGUCCAGACUCCUACGGAGGCAGCAGUAGGGAAUCUUCCGCAAUGGGCGAAAGCCUGACGGAGCAACGCCGCGUGAGUGAUGAAGGUCUUCGGAUCGUAAAGCUCUGUUGUUAGGGAAGAACAAAUGUGUAAGUAACUGUGCAUAUCUUGACGGUACCUAACCAGAAAGCCACGGCUAACUACGUGCCAGCCG
rnacentral:rRNA from 1 species